CCGAUGUUAUACAACUCAUCAAACCCCUGUGAACAUACCUACUGUUGCCUCGGCGGGAUCAGACCGGCCCUGUAACAACGGGCCGGCCCGCCGCCAGAGGAACCCUAAACUCUGUUUUUAGUGAAUUUUCUGAGUAUAAACAGCAAAUAAAUUA
rnacentral:misc_RNA from 1 species